CUAAGGAGAUAUUGGGCCUGAAAAUGUGGAUACCACCGAAGCUGUUUCAUCUCUGACCCGAGAAUCGAGGUUGUGUCGACGAGCUAUAUUUUGUCCAGGAUUCCUUGAGAAAGCCUUCUGUUCAAAGCUAUGGCAUUGCUAUAACCUCCAUUAAUGCUAGCAUUUGAAAGACGCCGACUGCUGGUGCUUGGCCUUGGUCCAUAGAAGUUUUCUGGCUCGAUUAGAGGCAUUAUAUUCCUCCAACAAUUCUAGCAAUGGCACCUGAAAAUAGGACACAUAUUUGUCCGUGAUUAACAGAUAACUUGGUAUUCUUAGCAAGGUGGGAAAAACAAAGAAGAACCACUACUUUUUAUGGGGAAAGCAUGGCAGUCCUGUGUAUCUACUACAUCUAUUCUAUUUGAAAUUGCCCGGGAAGGUACUUCAAUUGGUUUGUCUGCUUUUGAUUUUCUUUUUUUACCUCGAAUAUCUGACCCUUUUAGGCGCUUUUGGAAGAUCAUUUAUAAAAUUUAGAAUCGUUCUCCCGAAUGAUGAUUAGCACAUGACAACAACAGCAUUGUUGCAGUACCUGCUCAAUUAUGUAUAACGUAAGGCUCCCAGGAUCAGAUAUUUCAGGUGAUGAGAAUGAUAAUAGACGAAUUACAUGGGAAAACGAUCGGCGAUCACCAUAAGUAUUGGAGAAGUUGGCAUUUGAAGAUUUAAGCCAUUUGUUUAAAUGCUGUGAUGAUUUUGUUCUUCGAUACCCAUAACAAUUAUGCUAGUGAUCAGAUUAACCUCUAGCAGUCAAACCUUUUGAUUUUGGGAUGUAGCAUAAAUAUGUUGUUUGGCAAGGACAAGUUUCAUCACCUUUUCAAGCCGUUGCUGCUUUUCUUCUUUGAGAGAUUCUACCGUGCCUUUAAGUUUCUCUAAAAUGGAAUCGCUAAUGUUCUUUGAUCUUCCAAAUGGGUCGUCCAAGCUGGGAUGAAUCUUGGUGAUAAUCGUGGAAGCAUCCAUCCCCAAGGUUGCAGACAAUUUGUGGACUGUGUCUAUAUAUUUCUCCACUCUCUGAAGCCUUUCAUUCUGUCCAAAGAAAAUCGACAAGAAUCGCCGCAUCUCUCUCAGAGCUGGAGUUAUUGAAUCAAGCUGCUCUUUCAAAGUUCCCGCCAUCUUUUCUGGCUGAUCAGACACGUCCAAUCAACAUAUACAAUUGGGAAGAGAGCGUUCUCCAAGGGACAGCAGAAGAUGGGUAAACUCAGCCUCGGCUUCCGCAAGUUCCUGAUGAAGUCGAGCUCGUGACACAUUUGCAUCAUCAACUUUUCUCCGAGUUUAUCUUAUCUUCUGGAAGAAGGCUGAAUGAAAGUAGGGCUGGAGAGAGGUUAGGGGAUACCAAGAGUGUGAAGGACUCAAUGAAUUGAUUGAUAAAGACAUUGGCGUUAGUGGCUUCAUAUAGCUUGAAGAACUUAGAAGAUAGAACUGAAACCAACGAAUUGGCCCCUAAAAGAUGUUGCUUCCUCAAUGGGUAUUGUUAAAAUAUUGAACAGGUUGAAUAUUCUUGGUGUUUCUUAAUUCUUCAGGUUCUUUCCAAUUUGAUCCCUAAUCUAUUUAAAAUUUCAAUUUUGCCCUAAUGUUCUGCUAAUUAUCUAUUUGGACUUCUAAAAAAUCCUUAUUGAAACUAG